CCUACGGGGGGCUGCAGUGGGGAAUAUUGCACAAUGGCCGCAGCCUUGAUCCAGCGCGGCCCGGUGGGGGUUGAAGGCUUUCGGGCGUUAAAGCCCGGUCCUAAGGGAAGAAUAAUACCGUUACCUUAGGAGGAAGCCCCGGCUAAUAAGGUGCCACCAGCCGCGGUAAUACGUAGGGGGCGACCGUUAUCGGGAAUCACGGGGGGUAAAGGGUGCGUAGGCGGCCCGGCAAGUCAGGAGUUAAAUCCCUCGGCUCAACCGAGGUCAGCUCUUGAAACUGUAGGGCUUGAGUGCAGGAGAGGAGAGCGGAAUUCCUAGUGUAGCGGUGAAAUGCGUAGAUAUUAGGAGGAACACCAGUGGCGAAGGCGGCUCUCUGGACUGCAACUGACGCUGAGGCACGAAAGCGUGGGGAGCGAACAGGAUUAGAUACCCGUGUAGUC
rnacentral:rRNA from 1 species